rnacentral:rRNA from 1 species
GACGAACGCUGGCGGCGUGCUUAACACAUGCAAGUCGAACGGAAAGGCCCUGCUUUUGUGGGGUGCUCGAGUGGCGAACGGGUGAGUAACACGUGAGUAACCUGCCCUUGACUUUGGGAUAACUUCAGGAAACUGGGGCUAAUACCGGAUAGGAGCUCCUGCUGCAUGGUGGGGGUGGGAAAGUUUCGGCGGUUGGGGAUGGACUCGCGGCUUAUCAGCUUGUUGGUGGGGUAGUGGCUGACCAAGGCUUUGACGGGUAGCCGGCCUGAGAGGGUGACCGGCCACAUUGGGACUGAGAUACGGCCCAGCCUCCUCCGGGAGGCAGCAGUGGGGAAUAUUGCACAAUGGGCGGAAGCCUGAUGCAGCAACGCCGCGUGCGGGAUGACGGCCUUCGGGUUGUAAACCGCUUUCGCCUGUGACGAAGCGUGAGUGACGGUAAUGGGUAAAGAAGCACCGGCUAACUACGUG